AGGACGAACGCUGGCGGCGUGCUUAACACAUGCAAGUCGAGCGAGGCCCUCUCUUCGGAGAGGUGCCCUAGCGGCGAACGGGUGAGUAACACGUGGGCAACCUGCCCCUAGCACUGGGAUAAGCCCGGGAAACCGGGUCUAAUACCGGAUAUGACCUUCAAGGGCAUCCUCGAAGGUGUAAAGGAUUCUGGCUAGGGAUGGGCCCGCGGCCUAUCAGCUUGUUGGUGGGGUAACGGCCCACCAAGGCAACGACGGGUAGCCGGCCUGAGAGGGCGACCGGCCACACUGGGACUGAGACACGGCCCAGACUCCUACGGGAGGCAGCAGUGGGGAAUAUUGCACAAUGGGCGAAAGCCUGAUGCAGCGACGCCGCGUGAGGGAUGACGGCCUUCGGGUUGUAACCUCUUUCAGCUCCGACGAAGCGAAGUGACGGUAGGAGCAGAAGAAGCGACCGGCCAACGUACGUGCCAGCAGCCGC
rnacentral:rRNA from 1 species